AGAGUUUGAUCCUGGCUCAGAACGAACGCUGGCGGCGUGGAUAAGGCAUGCAAGUCGAACGACGGCCCUGAAGCAGAUCUUCGGAGAAGUGGACGGGAUACGGAGUGGCGAAAGGGUGAGUAACACGUGAGCAAUCUGCCCUUUUGUAGGGGAUAACGCAGGGAAACCUGCACUAAUACCGUAUGUGGCCCGGGUACACCUGUACUUGGCGCUAAAGGUGGGGAUCUUCGGACCUGCCACAAAAGGAUGAGCUCGCGCACUAUUAGCUAGUUGGUGUGGUAACGGCGCACCAAGGCGAUGAUGGUUAGCUGGUCUGAGAGGAUGGUCAGCCACACUGGGACUGAGACACUGCCCAGACUCCUACGGGAGGCUGCAGUCGAGAAUCAUUCGCAAUGCGCGAAAGCGUGACGAUGCGACGCCGCGUGGAGGAUGAAGGCCUUCGGGUUGUAAACUCCUGUCACCAGGUAAUAAAGCACUAUUGAUUAAGAGUUGAUGGUGUUGAGCAAACCUGGGGAGGAAGCCACGGCUAACUCCGUGCCAGCAGCCGCGGUAAUACGGGGGUGGCGAGCGUUGUUCGGAUUUACUGGGCGUAAAGGGUCCGUAGGGGGCUGUGUAAGUCGGGUGUGAAAUCUUCAGGCUUAACCUGGAAUGUGCACUCGAAACUGUGCGGCUAGAGUAUAGGAGAGGAAAGUGGAAUUCCCGGUGUAGCGGUGAAAUGCGUAGAUAUCGGGAGGAACACCAGCGGCGAAGGCGGCUUUCUGGCCUAUGACUGACCCUGAUGGACGAAAGCUAGGGGAGCAAACAGGAUUAGAUACCCUGGUAGUCCUAGCCGUAAAC
rnacentral:rRNA from 1 species